rnacentral:rRNA from 1 species
AGAGUUUGAUCCUGGCUCAGAUUGAACGCUGGCGGCAUGCCUUACACAUGCAAGUCGAACGCGAAAGGGGGAGCAAUCCCCCCGGUAGAGUGGCGAACGGGUGAGUAAUACAUCGGAACGUACCCAGUAGCGGGGGAUAACCUCUCGAAAGAGAGGCUAAUACCGCAUACGACCUACGGGUGAAAGCGGGGGAUCGCAAGACCUCGCACUAUUGGAGCGGCCGAUGUCGGAUUAGCUAGUUGGUGGGGUAACGGCCUACCAAGGCGACGAUCCGUAGCUGGUCUGAGAGGACGGCCAGCCACACUGGAACUGAGACACGGUCCAGACUCCUACGGGAGGCAGCAGUGGGGAAUUUUGGACAAUGGGCGCAAGCCUGAUCCAGCCAUGCCGCGUGAGUGAAGAAGGCCUUCGGGUUGUAAAGCUCUUUCGGCGGGGACGAAAAGGUCCGUGUUAACACCAUGGAUCCAUGACGGUACCCGCAGAAGAAGCACCGGCUAACUACGUGCCAGCAGCCGCGGUAAUACGUAGGGUGCAGGCGUUAAUCGGAAUUACUGGGCGUUAAGCGUGCGCAGGCGGUUUGCUAAGAGAGAUGUGAAAUCCCCGGGCUUAACCUGGGAACUGCGUUUCUAACUGGCAAGCUUGAGUGUGGCAGAGGGGGGUGGAAUUCCACGUGUGCAGUGAAAUGCGUAGAGAUGUGGAGGAACACCGAUGGCGAAGGAAGCCCCUGGCUACACUNACGUUAAUGCACGAAGCGUGGGAGCAAACAGGAUAAGAUACCUUGUUAGUCCACGCCNUAACUAUGUCAACUGUUUGUCGGGGAAGCAAUUCCUUGGUAACGAAGUAAACGCGUGAAGUUGACCGCUGGGGGAGUACGCCCGCAAGGUUAAAACUCAAAGGAAUUGACGGGGACCCGCACAAGCGGUGGAUUAUGUGGAUUAAUUCGAUGCAACGCGAAAAACCUUACCUACCCUUGACAUGCCAGGAACCCUCCAGAGAUGGAGGGGUGCCCGAAAGGGAACCUGGACACAGGUGCUGCAUGGCUGUCGUCAGCUCGUGUCGUGAGAUGUUGGGUUAAGUCCCGCAACGAGCGCAACCCUUGCCAUUAGUUGCCACAUUCAGUUGGGCACUCUAAUGGGACUGCCGGUGACAAACCGGAGGAAGGUGGGGAUGACGUCAAGUCCUCAUGGCCCUUAUGGGUAGGGCUUCACACGUAAUACAAUGGCCGGUACAGAGGGCAGCCAACUCGCGAGAGGGAGCUAAUCCCAGAAAGCCGGUCGUAGUCCGGAUUGCAGUCUGCAACUCGACUGCAUGAAGCCGGAAUCGCUAGUAAUCGCGGAUCAGCAUGUCGCGGUGAAUACGUUCCCGGGUCUUGUACACACCGCCCGUCACACCAUGGGAGUGGGUUUCACCAGAAGUAGUUAGCCUAACCGCAAGGAGGGCGACUACCACGGUGAGAUUCAUGACUGGGGUGAAGUCGUAACAAGGUAGCCGUAUCGGAAGGUGCGGCUGGAUCACCUCCUU